rnacentral:rRNA from 1 species
ACGGGGAGCGACCACAACAGGUGGAGCCUGCGGUUUAAUCGGACUCAACGCCGGGAAACUCACCAGAUAAGACAGCUGAAUGAUAGUCGGGCUGAAGACUCUACUUGACUAGCUGAGAGGAGGUGCAUGGCCGUCGUCAGUUCGUACUGUGAAGCAUCCUGUUAAGUCAGGCAACGAGCGAGACCCACGCCAACAGUUGCCAGCUCGUCCUCCGGGAUGGUGGGGACACUGUUGGGACCGCCGUCUGCGUAAAGAGGAGGAAGGAAUGGGCAACGGUAGGUCAGCAUGCCCCGAAUUAUCUGGGCUACACGCGGGCUACAAUGGGUGGGACAAUGGGUAUCGACACCGAAAGGUGAAGGCAAUCCCCUAAACCCAUCCGUAGUUCGGAUUGUGGGCUGCAACUCGCCCACAUGAAGCUGGAAUCUGUAGUAAUCGUGUCUCAAAAUGGCACGGUGAAUAUGUCCCUGCUCCUU